UGGUGCCUGUGGUAUGCUGAG
rnacentral:misc_RNA from 1 species